UGGGGAAUAUUGCACAAUGGGGGAAACCCUGAUGCAGCGACGCCGCGUGAACGAAGAAGGUAUUCGUAUCGUAAAGUUCUGUCCUAUGGGAAGAUAAUGACAGUACCAUAGAAGAAAGCUCCGGCUAAAUACGUGCCAGCAGCCGCGGUAAUACGUAUGGAGCGAGCGUUGUCCGGAAUUAUUGGGCGUAAAGGGUACGCAGGCGGUUUAAUAAGUCGAAUGUUAAAGAUCGGGGCUCAACCCCGCAAAGCAUUGGAAACUGAUAAACUUGAGGAGUGGAGAGGAAAGUGGAAUUCCUAGUGUAGUGGUGAAAUACGUAGAUAUUAGGAGGAAUACCAGUAGCGAAGGCGACUUUCUGGACACAAACUUACGCUGAGGUACGAAAGCGUGGGGAGCAAACAGG
rnacentral:rRNA from 1 species